UUUUUUUUUUCAGAGACAGGAUCUCAUGUAGCCCAGACCCCAAACUCACUUACCGUCUGAGGAUGUGAAUUCCUGCUUCCCCAGCAUCCACCUCCCGAGUGCUGGAGGACAGGAGCCUAGCCAGUGAGAGUUUUACCAACGCCUAACCAACCUGGACAAAGAAAAAUAUCCGCCCGGCAUGGUGGUCCAUAACUUUAAUCCUAUCAUUCAGGAGACAGAGGCAAGUGGAUCUAUAAGUUUGAGGCCAGCCUGGUCUACGGAGUGAGGUCCAGGACAGCCAGAGCUACACAGAGAAACCUUGUCAAGGAGGAGGAGAAGGAAGAGGGAGGGAGGGAAGGGAGGGAGGGAGGGAGGAAAAGAAAAAAGAAACCCACCUGAGGCACACAAUACAACAGAGACCUAAUCAUAGGCUGCCUUCUGUCUGUCUGUCUGUCAGCAUUCCAUGACUGUGACAAGACAUCUGAGAUAAUCAAAUUAAUAAGAGAAAAAUCUCAGAGAUGCAGUCCGUAAUCAGUUGACUCCAUUGCUUUGGGCCUGUGGCAUCAUGGUGAUGGAGGCUGAUACCUCACUGCAGCCAGGAAGCAAAAGUAGAGAGAAGAGCAACUAGCAGUUCAUCAGGAUUCCUACACUGAAGAGGAGACUGUGCAUGGAAGGAACUACAUCUACACCAUAUUUAAGAAGUCACUAAGAGAACAGAGUCAAGGACAACCAAGGACAUUUUAGCCAAUCGACAUACCAGCUAUACCAAAUAGUAAAUGCAGCCCAAGCCAAUGAGUAUAAAACUUAAACCCUGUCCAACUCAGGGCCUUUUUUCUGUAUACAAUGCCCAGCUUAAAAAAAAAAUACAGUGCAUUAUAAAAGGAAAAGAAACAGUCUAAAAAGACAAAGCCAGCAUCAGAACCUUCCAGAAACGCUGGAAGGACCUGACUGGGAAUUUGAAACAAGUAUGAUUAAUAUGUAACAGCUGCAAGGAAAAAAAAUGGGCAGCACAUAGGAACAGAUGGGCACCUAAGCGGAGAGGGGGGAGCUUGCAGAUGACAGGGAAGGACCAGGAGUCACGAGCGCUGUGGCAAAGGAAGAGCCUUGGGUGGGCUCAUCAGCCCAGCAGAGCAUCCUGACUGGCUGAGGGCACCCCUGAGUUCAGAACUAAAGAAAGAGAAAAGAUGGCCCCGAGUCUAGGCUGCAGGACGUUCACAAACGGCAGAGCCUGUCCAGUGGGAACACCAAAAGGAGAACAAGACAGGAACUCGUGAGACAUUUGAACUAGAAACAGCUCCUUCAAAACUGAGCUCGGGCACCAAGACGCCUGUACAGAACGCUCAGGGAACGCAGGACAGGAUGCAAAGACCCGACACUCAGGAACAUCCAAACUGCAGGAAACCAAAGAGAAGAAGAAAACCUUGAAGAGACGGUGACGGGAACACUUGGCCUGUUGCAUGGGAGGGAUGGAAGACUGCACCAGAUUUCAACACCCGUGACAAAGAGUGAAAUAGCGAAGGUACUGACAGGAAACGGUAACCCACCAACCAGGAUUCCAUACUCAGCGGGACUGUUCUUCAAAAGUAAGGUAGAGACCUCUCACAAAAACGAAAGAAUUCGUUGCCUGCCUUAUAAGACAUGGUGAAAGAUUUCAAAUGGACGGAAAAGUCAGAAAAAUCAGACGUGAGAGAGAAUAAGUGGAAGUAAAUAGAGACUCCUAUUUCUUA